UACGGCUCAGUAACACGUGGAUAACCUGCCCUGCGGUGGGAAAUAACCCCGGGAAACUGGGGAUAAUGUCCCAUAGAUUACGGAUACUGGAAUGUUCUGUAGUCCAAAGAUUUAUCGCCACAGGAUGGGUCUGCGGCCGAUUAGGUAGUUGUUGGGGUAAAGGCCCAACAAGCCUUUGAUCGGUACGGGUUGUGGGAGCAAGAGCCCGGAGAUGGAUUCUGAGACACGAAUCCAGGCCCUACGGGGCGCAGCAGGCGCGAAAACUUUACAAUGCGGGAAACCGUGAUAAGGGAACUCCGAGUGUCCGUAAAUUCGGACUGUCCGUAUGUUUAAAAAGCAUGCGAAGAAAGGGCCGGGCAAGACCGGUGCCAGCCGCCGCGGUAAUACCGGCGGCUCGAGUGGUGGCCACUAUUACUGGGCUUAAAGCGUUCGUAGCUUGGUUGUUAAGUCUCUUGGGAAAUCUAUCGGCUUAACCGAUAGGCGUCCAGGGGAUACUGGCAAUCUAGGGACCGGGAGAGGUGAGGGGUACUUCAGGGGUAGGAGUGAAAUCCUGUAAUCCCUGGGGGACCACCUGUGGCGAAGGCGCCUCACCAGAACGGCUCCGACAGUGAGGGACGAAAGCUGGGGGAGCAAACCGGAUUAGAUACCCGGGUAGUCCCAGCCGUAAACGAUGCACGUUAGGUGUAUCGAUGACCACGAGUCAUCGAGGUGCCGAAGGGAAACCGUGAAACGUGCCGCCUGGGAAGUACGGUCGCAAGGCUGAAACUUAAAGGAAUUGGCGGGGGAGCACA
rnacentral:rRNA from 1 species